GGCACAGCAGUGAGACGAUGGGGGGGGGGGGCUGGGCUGGAGAGGACCGUCACAAUCCCGUGGGGGCGCCCGAGGGGGCGGACCCGACGGGGGCGCAUCCCCGUGCAGCUUCGGCACACACGUCACCCUUAGAUGUCCAUUUCCGGGGACGGUAGAGGGCACAGGCGUUGGGCCCCCCCGAAGGCACGGAGUUCCGACCCUGGCCAGAAUGGGAUCGUGCUCCGCGAGCAGUGAGUGAGUGAAACACACCCUCGGUUCCGUCCGAAAGAAAGUCCGAAAGAAAAGAGCACAGACCUGGAUACAAGUACCUGCCCCCGGGCACCGGGCAGGGGACACAGAGGGGACUGGUUGUGACGCAGAGGGUGUGGCCCAACCCCACGGCGCGAGGGAGCGCAGCCAGCCUCCCCAGCUUCCCUUCGGGGGUUCGCUUGGAGACUCACUGCCGAGCGCCCUUCUGUCCGAGCUAGGCCCCGGCUGACCAGCGCUCUACCCAGUGAGCUGCCCUUUGGGAAAUGGGGUCUGAGGCCAAGUGACAAGCCCUCGGUCAAGGCAUGUGUAGUGAGUGUAGCUCAGAUAUGGGCCACCUGCCUCUCCUGUCCCGACGCGGCUCUGGGAGGGUCUCCACCGAGCUUUGCUCUGCAACCGCAGACUUCUGCUUUCUCUCAGCCCCAUUUGCUGCCUCCCCCCUGCUGGCUCAUCCCCAUUUCCUCCCCCUCCCCGACUCACCUCUGCACCGGGCGCCCUGCCCUGCGUCCAGUGCUCUGCAGGGCUGCUCCUGGCGCGUCCCUCCAGCAGACUGUCACUUGAAGGUGACAAGAAGGUGACAGCAGCAGAGCCAGCUCGAGCGCAAUCGCUCCGCACACUGACCCUCAGGAUCAGGAUGCGGGAAAUGGUGUAGACAGUGAUAGACGGACGUUCCCGCCGGGGAAGCCACUCUUCCACCUCUCCCAUCUCCC